UUCGCAAUGCCCGAAAGGGUGACGAAGCGACGCCGCGUGCGGGAAGAAGGCCUUCGGGUUGUAAACCGCUGUCGGGAGUUAAGAAAUGCAAGGAUAUUAAUAGUGUCUUUGCUUGACUAAGGCUCCGGAGGAAGCCACGGCUAACUCUGUGCCAGCAGCCGCGGUAAUACAGAGGCGGCAAGCGUUGUUCGGAAUUAUUGGGCGUAAAGAGCACGUAGGCGGCUACGUAAGUCGGUUGUGAAAGCCUUCUGCUUAACGGAAGAACAGCAUCCGAUACUGAAUGGCUCGAGUGCGGGAGGGGAGAGUGGAACUUCUGGUGGAGCGGUGAAAUGCGUAGAUAUCAGAAGGAACACCGGCGGCGAAGGCGACUCUCUGGCCUAUUACUGACACUGAGUGUGCGAAAGUUAGGGGAGCAAACGGGAUUAGAUACCCCGGUAGUCCUAACUGUAAACGAUGGGCACUAAGUAGAGGGGUUUU
rnacentral:rRNA from 1 species